rnacentral:rRNA from 1 species
GUGGGGAAUAUUGGACAAUGGGCGCAAGCCUGAUCCAGCCAUACCGCGUGGGUGAAGAAGGCCUUCGGGUUGUAAAGCCCUUUUGUUGGGAAAGAAAUCCUGUCGGUUAAUACCUGGCGGGGAUGACGGUACCCAAAGCAUAAGCACCGGCUAAAUUCGUGCCAGCAGCCGCCGUAAUACGAAGGGUGCAAGCGUUACUCCGAAUUACUGGGCCUAAAGCGUGCGUAGGUGGUGGUUUAAGUUCUUUGUGAAAGCCCUGGGGUCAACCUGGGAAGUGCAGUGGAUACUGGAUGACUAGAGUGUGGUAGAGGGAAGCGGAAUUUCAGGUGUAGCAGUGAAAUGCGUAGAGAUCAGAAGGAACAUCCGUGGCGAAGGCGGCAUCCUGGGCCAACACUGACACUGAGGCACGAAAGCGUGGGGAGCAAACAGGAUUAGAAACCCCAGUAGUCC